UACGUAGGGUGCAAGCGUUAAUCGGAAUUACUGGGCGUAAAGCGUGCGCAGGCGGCUUUGCAAGACAGAUGUGAAAUCCCCGGGCUUAACCUGGGAACUGCAUUUGUGACUGCAUGGCUGGAGUGCGGCAGAGGGGGAUGGAAUUCCGCGUGUAGCAGUGAAAUGCGUAGAGAUCGGAAGGAACACCAAUGGCGAAGGCAGCUUGCUGGGCCACACCUGACACUGAGGUACGAAAGCGUGGGGAGCGAACAGG
rnacentral:rRNA from 1 species